rnacentral:rRNA from 1 species
AGUUUGAUCCUGGCUCAGAACGAACGCUGGCGGCAGGCUUAACACAUGCAAGUCGAGCGCCCCCUCGGGGGAGCGGCAGACGGGUGAGUAAUGCAUGGGAAUCUACCUAGCUCUACGGAAUAACUCAGGGAAACUUGAACUAAUACCGUAUACGUCCUUCGGGAGAAAGAUUUAUCGGAGUUAGAUGAGCCCAUGUCUGAUUAGCUAGUUGGUGAGGUAAAGGCUCACCAAGGCGACGAUCAGUAGCUGGUCUGAGAGGAUGAUCAGCCACACUGGGACUGAGACACGGCCCAGACUCCUACGGGAGGCAGCAGUGGGGAAUAUUGGACAAUGGGCGCAAGCCUGAUCCAGCCAUGCCGCGUGAGUGAUGAAGGCCCUAGGGUUGUAAAGCUCUUUCACCGGUGAAGAUAAUGACGGUAACCGGAGAAGAAGCCCCGGCUAACUUCGUGCCAGCAGCCGCGGUAAUACGAAGGGGCUAGCGUUGUUCGGAAUUACUGGGCGUAAAGCGCGCGUAGCGGAUCGGUCAGUUAGGGUGAAAUCCCGGGGCUCAACCCCGGAACUGCCUCUAAUACUGCCGAUCUAGAGUUCGAGAGAGGGGAGUGGAAUUCCGAGUGUAGAGGUGAAAUUCGUAGAUAUUCGAGGACACCAGUGGCGAAGGGGCUCACUGGCUCGAUACUGACGCUGAGUGCGAAGCGUGGGGAGCAACAGGAUAGAUACCCUGGUAC